ACUCUAAGUAGUUUAAUUAAAAUUACGAUUUGUGGUGUCGUGGAUGUAGUAUUUAUUACCUUGGGUU
rnacentral:tRNA from 1 species